UUUUUCUUCGAAACUACUCCUUCUCCCUGACCUUCCCUACAUUUGGGCCUUCCACCUGAAAAUCACCACAAAGAUCCUCAACCCUGACGCUCAGUUGGCUGAAGGUCUGAAGCCACUUGAGGUGACAGCUGGAAUCAGGCUGCAGGAAUACUCUGUUUGAAACACCUUUACUCCAAAGCCAAAAGGGUCACCCACUAACGCGCGUCAUCACUGCUCCAUCUGGAAGUUGACUCCGGCAGCUGUACGGUGGCUUCAAAGGCCAAAGUUCUGAGACAUGUGUUGACAGCUCUUUCUGCAGGAGUUAAUUGAGAGACGGACAGUGCGAUUCUAUUAUCGGGAUGACUCAUCUUGGCCGAAAAUGAUGGAGCUGCAAGGAGUUUGCUUGGAUGCAGCGAUAGGGAAGUGCAGACUUACAAACCUGUUUCGAAAGGCUGUUUUUCUUGAUUAUAUGAUCAACAAAAAGGACAAAGGAACACUGUUGUGUGCUGUUAUUUUGCUGUUUGCUGAUGCUUUCUAUGAUGGUGAUUAAGAGUCCAAAUGCACAGCUCGCUUCUGUGUUUGGGAUGCACCGCCAUGUGCGAGAAAACAUGAUGUGCCCCCCUUGACCCUUUGGCAGCUAUGGCUCAUUUCCUUUAUGCAAAUGAAUUCUGCAUAAAAGGGUUACGCAAAUUCUGUUGGGAGCUGUGCGCAAAGUGGAAAUGAUGCAGACUUGAGAGUCCCCGAAAUGUGGGUGAGGGGCUGUGUUUGGAUGGGGAUUUCCUUUCCUUUUCCAUUCCAGUGUCUUCUUUCAGAAUAUAUGUCAAUGUGAGGGUGAUGCAAAUUUAUUUCACCUAAAGUAAAUUUUCCUCAGUUUGAAAAUAAUACUGAAAACUCAAUAAAGCAUUGUGACACCAUUGGGGAC